GGGAUCAGGGCUCGAAUCCUGCCAUGGCUGCUGGUGGAAUUUGAAUUCAAUAAAUAUCUAGAAUUAGGAGUCUAAUGAUGACUGUGAAACCAUUGCCGAUGGUCAGGAAACACCCACGUGGUUCACCAAUGUCCUUUAGGGAAGGAAACUGCCAUCCUUACCCAUUCUGGCCUCCAUGUGACUCCAGACCCACAGCAAUGUGUUUGACUCUGAACUGUCCUCUGGGCAUUUAGGGAUGGGCAACAAAUGCUGCCCAGACAGCGACGCCCUCAUCCCGUGAAUGAAUACAAAAGAAAUGGCGGAGAGAUUAUGUCUGAUUAAUGGAAGCUAAAUUGGUGGUCAUGAAGUAAAUUUUGGCUAGAUAUAAGGAUGGUCAGAUAUCUGGUUUUGUACUGGACAGUUGGAUUUUUUCUGGUCUGCCACUGAACACUAUUGGAUGACUUUAUAUCAGUAUUUUGGCCCAUAGUGUAUUUAUUGCACUCAAACACCAGGAGGAGCUUGUGUUCUUUCAAUUCCCUGUCGACAGCUGCCUGAUACAAUAGAGAUGCAGGAAAAGGUUUUUUUUCAUGUUUCUAUGAGGAACAGGAUUGCUAAUCCUGGCUCUGUGAGAGGCCUGCAGCUGCUACCAGCCCAGCUCGGAUUCCCCACUCCCAUGUUCAUCUCCUCCCCGCCCUCAGGAUCCAACUGUGGAUCAGUUAGGGAUCAGCCCUGAGUUGGCAACUUAGGCUUCUCAUUCCAAGUGAUUUUCCAAUUUCUUCCCCUUGUGGGUCACAUUUAUGAACUAAAGGCCACAAUAGGAAAAAUACAAUGCUAAGGCAUUCUUGUAUCUGAAAUAUAGGCAGAACCGAACACAGGCAAGGGAGCAAUUUCAGAAAUUUUUAGAAAGGAUUAAGAUAAGGCUCUGUCAGUAAAAGGGAUUUAGGGUUAUUAACUCUGCACCUUGUUGUCUCGGAUUCUCCAGCAUCUGCGGUUCCUACUAUCUCUUAUUAAAUGUGUGAGAAGGUUUGCUGAAAGCUAGACCGAAUUCUAAUUCCUGAAGCCAUUGCAAUGUUAAUCGGCAAGUGAAAAAUCAGUCUCUACAGGAUAUUAACUUAUAACCUGCACUGACUAUUCCAAAUGCUGCUGAUCAUGUCCAGUGAGUGUGGAUGAACAAAUAGAGAUUGGUUGAGAGGUCAGCAGCAAAAUGGGAGUCAGAGAAAGGAAGGUGCAUGUGAUUUGCUGAGGGGUCCAUAACAGAUGGAUCAGUUUGGGCCAGUGUGUUUACACAUGCAAAGUCAUCCAUUGUGACUCCCGAUGCACUCACCAAAUCUUCAGCCAUGAGAACAGUGACCAAAGCUCUUCAUCUUAUCUACAAAUACAUACAGUACACAAUGCUUUUUGUGGCAGAGGGCUCUGCAGAACUAGUCAAUGUUUAAACACUUGAUCCCAAAUCAUUCUGUACUUUAAAAGAUUUUGAAAUAAAAAUGUGCUUGAACAAACUA